GGGCUUGUAGCACAGUGGUUAGCGCGCACGCUUUGCAUCUCCGAUGAUCUGCGUGAGGUCAAGGGUUCAAAUCCCUUCUAGUCCA
rnacentral:tRNA from 1 species